UACGAAGGGGGCUAGCGUUGCUCGGAAUGACUGGGCGUAAAGGGCGCGUAGGCGGAUUGCACAGUCGGGCGUGAAAUUCCUGGGCUUAACCUGGGGGCUGCGUUCGAGACGUGAGGUCUGGAGUGCGGAAGAGGGUCGUGGAAUUCCCGGUGUAGUGGUGAAAUGCGUAGAGAUCGGGAGGAACACCUGUGGCGAAGGCGGCCGACUGGGCCGACCCUGACGCUGAGGCGCGAAGGCGUGGGGAGCGAACGGG
rnacentral:rRNA from 1 species